GACGAACGCUGGCGGCGUGCUUAACACAUGCAAGUCGAACGGAAAGGCCCUGCUUUUGUGGGGUGUUCGAGUGGCGAACGGGUGAGUAACACGUGAGUAACCUGCCCUUGACUUUGGGAUAACUUCAGGAAACUGGGGCUAAUACCGGAUAGGAGCUCCUGCUGCAUGGUGGGGGUUGGAAAGUUUCGGCGGUUGGGGAUGGACUCGCGGCUUAUCAGCUUGUUGGUGGGGUAGUGGCUUACCAAGGCUUUGACGGGUAGCCGGCCUGAGAGGGUGACCGGCCACAUUGGGACUGAGAUACGGCCCAGACUCCUACGGGAGGCAGCAGUGGGGAAUAUUGCACAAUGGGCGGAUGCCUGAUGCAGCAACGCCGCGUGCGGGAUGACGGCCUUCGGGUUGUAAACCGCUUUCGCCUGUGACGAAGCGUGAGUGACGGUAAUGGGUAAAGAAGCACCGGCUAACUACGUG
rnacentral:rRNA from 1 species